AUUGAACGCUGGCGGCAGGCCUAACACAUGCAAGUCGAGCGGAGCGGCGGACGGGUGAGUAAUGCCUAGGAAUCUGCCUGGUAGUGGGGGAUAACGUCCGGAAACGGGCGCUAAUACCGCAUACUAUCAGAUGAGCCUAGGUCGGAUUAGCUAGUUGGUGGGGUAAAGGCCUACCAAGGCGACGAUCCGUAACUGGUCUGAGAGGAUGAUCAGUCAAACUGGAAAUGAGAAACGGUCCAGACUCCUACGGGAGGCAGCAGUGGGGAAUAUUGGACAAUGGGCGAAAGCCUGAUCCAGACAUGCCGCGUGUGUGAAGAAGGUCUUCUGAGUGUAAAGCACUUUAAGUUGGGAGGCGUUACCAACAGAAUAAGCACCGGCUAACUUCGUGCCAGCAGCCGCGGUAAUUC
rnacentral:rRNA from 1 species